UAGUGAACAUGUGGAAGUUGAGUUUGCACCAACAAAUCUGGUCACUUCUCGCAGUGAUGGAUGAUUCAGUUCAAGCCAGAAACUUUGAGUAGAGAGGAAACGCUGUGCUACUAUGCAUUCUUCCAGUGCUGCACUCAGACUGUCAAACACUGGAGUCUCACAGGAGUCAGAAACACUGAAUCUGAUCCUUGAUGUGCUCAAGCCAAGUGAGAGUUUAUCUGGCCAAGAGUGAGCCAGCGAGCCACUCAACAUCAUGCUGAAGAGCACUGACUAAUCAAAACACACUUCAGCAAAACAAUACAAAUAAACAACAGGAAAC